AUCUUUGUCUCAGGCUGGGUGGAGCCAGCUCGUGGAGAAUAUCCAGCUUGGGGUGAGACUGUGGUUUACAUCUUUCUUCCAAAAUCCACUUUCACCAGUUGAACCUGAAUGGAAGCCUUUUCCAAGUAAAAGCUGUUUACAGAUCCUGAGCUAUCUGCAAAUCUUGGCAGCUGGGCUGGGGAGGAAGGUACUUCAUCAGUUCAAAAGCUCAAGGCAAAAGGACAUUCCUGGGAGAGAUUCACCAAGUCGGGGGAGGAAAGAGCAAAAUGCAAACACGGCUGAUCCUCAGUGAAUUAAAGCUUCCCCCAAAGGCUGUCACAAAUAGGGACAUGCACAUUUAGCUUUGCUUCUUGGGAUUCUUCUUCCUUAUGCAUCAUAUGCUAAUUAUCUCACCAGUCUGCCUGCAACAUUUGAUUUGGCAUUUUCCCCGUUUCUUGCUUGUAAAUUUCCAUCAUAGAAGAGAUAGGGUGAAAUUAUUAAUGAAAAUGUAUCCACAGGUGUCUUUCCAAAGGAAAGGAGCAGGGUUAGCGUGUGAAACAGAUCCUGCCUUCAGAUUUCCUUUUAACACAUACCAUUUAGUUCUGAACCCCACUAAUUUGCAUAGGCAAGAGGAUAAAAGCAGCAGCAAACAUCUCAGCUGGUUCUGAAUUUCACCCCACAGACAGAAUGAUAUAUCUGCUGCUCCUUUCUCUGUGUGGCUCUCUGAGGAAGCAGACAGCACGGUGUUCAUUUGCUGCUCUUGGUUCUUUGCAAUGGCAUCCCAACAAGAGGAUUCCCCAAUGAACCCCGACACAGCGAGGGGGAUUCCUUUGAGAAAAACUCUCUAGUGCUGAGCUGUUGUAGAGAAAGAGGGACUAAAUCAGCAGUAGAGGAAUGAGGUGAAUUAGUGGUGGACACAGUGGAGCUGGGUUAAAGUUUGGACUCUACAAUCUUUCCUUAAUGACAUAGCCUUAAUGGCUCUGUGAUUCUGUGAAUUGUGGCCUUACACUAUUUGAUGUUUGGGCUGAAUUUUGUGUGAUGGAGCCCCCCCAUCAUGACCACUGCAUGCUGGAGCAACGAGGAGAAGGCAAGAGGAGGUAUCAACGAUGUCACCAACAGCUGAGAGGAAACAAAGGACUUAUCACACAAUACCCCAAGGUGCAAGGGAUCCACAAGGAUCAAUGAGUCCAGCUCCUGGUCCUGCAGAGACACCCCAAAAAUCUCACCCUGUGCCUUAGAGCAUUUUCCAAACUCUCCUGGAGUUCUGGCAGCCCUGGGGCUGUGAGCAUUCCCUGGAGAGCCUGUUCAGUGCCCCCCUACCCUCAGGGUCGAAUUGAAUGACAGCUUUUAAGAGAGACAGGCCUAAGUUUUCCAGUCUCUGGAAUCUUUUAAGGGAUUGUUUAAGUCAUCUCAAGGCUGUGAAGGUGUUGGAGCUUGAAUUUGAAUCAGCUCUUCCUAAAGAGUGGCGGGACUUCCCACGCGGUUUUUGCAGCGAGGCUGGUGCGCUGCUAACCCCGACUGCUGCCUUGCUGCCAGGAGUGUCAAGAGGCCAUCAGCAGGGCUGAGCAGAGCCCUGGUAGCUCUCAGGCCACCACUGGUGAGUCGUGCUG